AUGUUCUCUGAGCAACCAAAAUCAGCACUUUUCGGUGUCUGUUUCUCAGUUGAGUUCAAUGUGCCUUUCUUCGAUACACCCCCCACUGAAAAGAGAAUCAAAAGGUGUUAAUUAUGCUCAAGACUUUCCAAAAAAAAAAAUCAGCAAGCAUGAAGAUCAAUUCUGCUUAAACUUGGCAGUCCAGAGUGGAGAACAAGUUUAUCAAUGACUACUCAAUAGCCAGCCAAGAUUAUUUUGUGAUGCUGAAUAAUCACUUCAGAAUACUACCAGUUGAAAGAAUACUUGUGAAUGUGAAUUUUAAGAUAUAAUUGACUAUUUGUAGUUUUAAUUACUAAACAUUAUUUUG